rnacentral:rRNA from 1 species
GAUGAACGCUGGCGGCGUGCCUAAUACAUGCAAGUCGAGCGAACAGACGAGGAGCUUGCUCCUCUGACGUUAGCGGCGGACGGGUGAGUAACACGUGGAUAACCUACCUAUAAGACUGGGAUAACUUCGGGAAACCGGAGCUAAUACCGGAUAAUAUAUUGAACCGCAUGGUUCAAAAGUGAAAGACGGUUUUGCUGUCACUUAUAGAUGGAUCCGCGCCGCAUUAGCUAGUUGGUAAGGUAACGGCUUACCAAGGCAACGAUGCGUAGCCGACCUGAGAGGGUGAUCGGCCACACUGGAACUGAGACACGGUCCACACUCCUACGGGAGGCAGCAGUAGGGAAUCUUCCGCAAUGGGCGAAAGCCUGACGGAGCAACGCCGCGUGAGUGAUGAAGGUCUUCGGAUCGUAAAACUCUGUUAUUAGGGAAGAACAAAUGUGUAAGUAACUAUGCACGUCUUGACGGUACCUAAUCAGAAAGCCACGGCUAACUACGUG